AUGCAAACGAUUCACUGCAGAUUACCUAUAUUUUACAGGGAUAUUGGGUUUGGAUCUGCUAUGAAUUUUGAAUUACGUGGAUAUGGAUUUAGAAGACUCAUAUCUGCUGCAAAGCUUUUUGCUUCUUCUGAAUCAUCCCUCUCUAAAUUAGAGACUAGAAAUUUUCAUUCAACUAGUGUGAAGAGGAAGGGAAGCGGGCAUGACCACAACAAACCUGACUCAGAUCUAUUGGGAAGCAUUUGGGUUGUUAAAUGUUUCUUGCAAUGUUCACUGCUUCUACUUUUAGCAUUUGUGUUGCAUUUCAGCCUUUGUAGUAUUUUCCAGCAAAAGAAGAUAGCAUUUGGUUGA